rnacentral:rRNA from 1 species
GACGAACGCUGGCGGCGUGCUUAACACAUGCAAGUCGAACGAAGAGCGAUGGAAGCUUGCUUCUAUCAAUCUUAGUGGCGAACGGGUGAGUAACGCGUAAUCAACCUGCCCUUCAGAGGGGGACAACAGUUGGAAACGACUGCUAAUACCGCAUACGAUCUAAUCUCGGCAUCGAGGAUAGAUGAAAGGUGGCCUCUACAUGUAAGCUAUCACUGAAGGAGGGGAUUGCGUCUGAUUAGCUAGUUGGAGGGGUAACGGCCCACCAAGGCGAUGAUCAGUAGCCGGUCUGAGAGAAUGAACGGCCACAUUGGGACUGAGACACGGCCCAGACUCCUACGGGAGGCAGCAGUGGGGAAUCUUCCGCAAUGGACGAAAGUCUGACGGAGCAACGCCGCGUGAGUGAUGACGGCCUUCGGGUUGUAAAGCUCUGUUAAUCGGGACGAAAGGCCUUCUUGCGAAUAGUGAGAAGGAUUGACGGUACCGGAAUAGAAAGCCACGGCUAACUACGUG